UACGAAGGGGGCUAGCGUUGUUCGGAAUUACUGGGCGUAAAGCGCACGUAGGCGGAUAUUUAAGUCGGGGGUGAAAGCCCGGGGCUCAACCCCGGAACUGCCCUCGAAACUAGGUAGCUAGAAUCUUGGAGAGGUCAGUGGAAUUCCGAGUGUAGAGGUGAAAUUCGUAGAUAUUCGGAAGAACACCAGUGGCGAAGGCGACUGACUGGACAAGUAUUGACGCUGAGGUGCGAAAGCGUGGGGAGCAAACAGG
rnacentral:rRNA from 1 species